rnacentral:rRNA from 1 species
UGGGGAAUAUUGGACAAUGGGGGCAACCCUGAUCCAGCAAUGCCGCGUGAGUGAAGAAGGCCUUCGGGUUGUAAAGCUCUUUAGCCGACGAAUAUAAUGACUGUAGUCGGAGAAUAAGCCCCGGCUAACUUCGUGCCAGCAGCCGCGGUAAUACGAAGGGGGCGAGCGUUAUUCGGAAUCACUGGGCGUAAAGCGUGCGUAGGCUGCUUUGUAAGUCAGAAGUGAAAGCCCAGGGCUUAACCCUGGAAUUGCUUUUGAAACUACAAGGCUCGAAUUCGGGAGAGGAUAGCGGAAUUGUCAGUGUAGCAGUGAAAUGCGUAGAUAUUGACAGGAACACCAGUGGCGAAGGCGGCUCACUGGCUCGAUACUGACGCUGAGGUGCGAAAGCGUGGGGAUCGAACAGGAUUAGAUACC